rnacentral:rRNA from 1 species
GAAACACGGACCAAGGAGUCUAGCAUGUGCGCGAGUCAUUGGGAAUAACUAAACCUAAAGGCGCAAUGAAAGUGAAGGUCCGCCUAGCGCGGACCGAGGGAAGAUGGGCGGUCACGGUUUCGUGCCGCUCCGCACUCCCGGGGCGUCUCGUUCUCAUUGCGAGAAGAGGCGCACCAAGAGCGUACACGCUGGGACCCGAAAGAUGGUGAACUAUGCCUGGUCAGGACGAAGUCAGGGGAAACCCUGAUGGAGGUCCGUAGCGAUUCUGACGUGCAAAUCGAUCGUCGGAACUGGGUAUAGGGGCGAAAGACUAAUCGAACCAUCUAGUAGCUGGUUCCCUCCGAAGUUUCCCUCAGGAUAGCUGGCGCUCGUCGCCUACGAGUCUCAUCCGGUAAAGCGAAUGAUUAGAGGCAUUGGGGUCGAAACGGCCUCAACCUAUUCUCAAACUUUAAAUGGGUGAGAUCUCCGGCUUGCUCGAACUUAUGAAGCCGCGAGACACGGAUCAGAGUGCCAAGUGGGCCAUUUUUGGUAAGCAGAACUGGCGCUGUGGGAUGAACCAAACGCCGAGUUAAAGCGCCUAAAUCGACGCUUAUGGGAUACCAUGAAAGGCGUUGGUAACUUAAGACAGCAGGACGGUGGCCAUGGAAGUCGGAAUUCG